rnacentral:ncRNA from 1 species
GGCCAAGUUUUUAAGGGCGCACGGUGGAUGCCUUGGCACCAGGAACCGAUGAAGGACGUGGGAGGCCACGAUAGUCCCCGGGGAGUCGUCAA